GCUGCCCUCGCAUCCCGGGGCGGGGACUCACCUUCUCUGAGGCAAGGGCAGGUGUCUACUUUAAAACUACUGUCCCCCCUCCCCGCCGCAGCCAUAGUGGAGCCGCCAAAGCUGCCGCCGUUACUCCACUGCACCGAUCGGCAGGCUGAGUGGAGAUGGCAGUGCAGGCAGGCACAAUCACCGCCACUGCCGCUGCCUACGCGGCGGCGAAGGCGACAAAAAUGGUAGUUUCCUGGGGGGAAGGCUUCACCAGCGCCGGCAGGGUGACAGCGUUUGGCGUCGCCGCUGUCGCAGCUAGGAGUGAACUAUCGCACUUUCGUCUAAAUUCCAUUUGGCUUCUUUAGCCACGCCCAUUCCUUGGACCCGCCUCUCGCAGCUUCAAAGGUGGCAAUGCAGAGAAGUGGGAUACCCAAGCUGCUAUAUACCAUCAUGGAACAUCCUUGAGCCACAGCAAGCUCAUUCAGUUUGUUUGCUGUCAGUUCUUUGCAGGAGGCAAGCAUCAUUCAACAGAACACACUCCAGGCCAAGUGCUCUGUUGAAGAUCCUUCCUAAGACCCACUUACAACACUGAGAAGUCACUGGCAGGAUGUGGCAACAUAGAAAAGCUAUGCUCCUUCUCAGACCACUUAGAGUAUGUGAUGUGAGAAGAUGGAAAGGACAUUUUCCAGAGAUGUUAAGUGGUACACCGAUGCCUGUCAUUUCCAUAAACUUCAGUAUGAAUGGGGGGGAGCUGAAGACUGUGCACAUAUGUCCAUAUGUGUGUAUACACAUGUGUGUAAGCACAUGUGCAAGUGUGGGGCCAUAUUUGUCCCAGAUACACAUGUUGGUGGCACUAUUGGGCAUGUUAGAGCUUCUCUCCCAAUGGGUAAGUAUGGGAGGUAGGAAGACAGUUCAAGAAUGAAGACUUUGAGGACUAAUGGGGCAAGUUACUUCCCAUACCCAGAAUGAUGCUUGAAGAUAAUCACGGAGCAGAAACUGACACACAGUAUCUCUCCUACUCAGGACCACUCAGCAUUCAGUUUGAGUCAGCAACACCAGCAAGGCUCUCCCUGAUUACACACUUUCCAUGUUUCAUUCCCAGCUUUCUUUUAGCCCAGGACUUGGUAAGCUGUAUGUAUUUACAUAAAUACUGCCCUGUAUUAUUAUUUCAGAACUCAUCAGAACAGAGGGAACUAUACUGGGAGUCUAGCUCCUUUAAGGACCUUCCAAGUAUCCUGACAGGGACUCAGGAAAGAAUAAUUACGUGGAGCAAAGAUGCACACUGGAUCUCAUUAAACAGUGCCUUUCUUUCAGUGCUAGUUAUUGAAUCUAGGUACUUGUGCAUAUUUCAUGAGCAUUCUACCACUGAGAUUUGACCACAGAUAUUUAUUUAUUUAUUCAGUUACUUAGUUAUUUUGAGACAGGAUUUCACUACAUUGCUCAGACUGGACUUAACAUAUAUUGAAGUGCAGGUAUGUCUUGAACUUGUGAUCCUCCAGAGUAUCUGGCACAGUAAACUUAUUGCACUAUGCCUGGCUUUACUUAUUGGGUGUAUGUGCAUGGUACUAGGGAUUGACCAUAGAACCACAUGCAUGCCAGGUUCCCCAGCCAGCGGGGAGUUGAACAAGGACUCGAGGAAAAGCUAACCUGGGUAAAAAAGGCAAACAGACACAAGAAGGAGACCAUGCUAGA